UACGUAGGGCGCAAGCGUUAUCCGGAAUUAUUGGGCGUAAAGAGCUCGUAGGCGGUUUGUCGCGUCUGCCGUGAAAGUCCGGGGCUCAACUCCGGAUCUGCGGUGGGUACGGGCAGACUAGAGUGAUGUAGGGGAGACUGGAAUUCCUGGUGUAGCGGUGAAAUGCGCAGAUAUCAGGAGGAACACCGGUGGCGAAGGCGGGUCUCUGGGCCGAAACUGACGCUGAGGAGCGAAAGCAUGGGGAGCGAACAGG
rnacentral:rRNA from 1 species